UAUAAUGGGUGAACUGAAGAAGAUAAAGCGUGAAAUCUCUGAUGAGUCAGACUGGUACUCUUUUGAGGUGGUUCUGCCUGUUGGGUUGUCUUGCAUGCUUGGUUUGUCCAUUUCAUUCUUUGGGUUUUCUUGCCGGAAGGCAAUUUCUGCUACAGGAUAUACUGUUCUUGGCGUGGUGAACAAGCUGUUGACAGUUGUAAUCAAUCUGGUUAUUUGGGAUAAGCAUUCCUCGUUAAUUGGCACAAUCGGGCUUCUCAUUUGUAUGCUAGGUGGAAUUAUGUAUCAGCAGUCCACAGGUAAGCCCAAGUCUGCUCCAGAAGUAAAAGCAGAAGAUACUGAGGAAGAACAACAGAAGCUACUAGAAAUGCAAAGCAAAAUAGAAAGCAACAACAACGAGAAAGAAGAUACUGGAUCUCAUCAGGGAAAAUGAGGCUGUUCCAAAGACAAUAUGAUAGUUCCAUGUUAAAAGAUCAGGAUUAGGCUUAUUAGUUGGCAAAUUGUUGGAAUGGAAAAUCUGAUAUUAAGAGCCUGCCUACAGAUAGCUGGAUAGCCUGUGCUUGAACAGAACUUCUGUGGUUGGAAAUUUAGGUGGCUUUGGUGAUAUUUGCUUUUCUUUUGUAUCUUAUUUUACAGAUUUUAGUUUUAUUAGACCAAGAAAAACAGUCAGGUGUUUUGUUAAAAUCUAUUGAUUUGUUCUUGUUAGAACAAUUUUAUCCAAAUAGUCCAGCAGUAAUGUCUUUGAAGUUGACGUUCAGGUGGGCCAAAAAUGUAUUAAAUGUAGCAGAGAGCCCAAUUAUUUUGAUUGUUAGUAGCUUUCUUGUUAUGUUGGUUGUCAGCAUUUUUCCUUGUUUCUCAA
rnacentral:misc_RNA from 1 species